CCUAUAAUUUACACUUACUUUGCUUGUUUUAAUAAAAGGUCAAGGUUUCAAUUACUAAACAUGAUAAAAAUAAAAAUAUUUCAGAAAUUAGUUUUUUGAAUGGAAGUUUUCUUGUGCACUAUGGUACCAUUUAGACUUUUAUUGUUGUAAAUUGAAAGACAAGAAACAUGGAAUAAAUACUUGCACCUGUCUGCAAGUUUAAGGAGGUCAUGGUUAAAUUCUUAGUUUAAAAAUUUGUAGAAAUGUACAGACAAUAAUUAUUGCUGACGAAAAUAGAAUUUGUUGGGAUUGGUCUUAGAAACGGGUAUAAAUGUGAAGUUCACGGAUACUUUCCUUGCCUAUUUUAUUCUGUAAUUUUUGCAAUAUUGUGUUCUUUCAACUUAUCUUGAACAUGUUGAACCUUAUUUAAAUAUUAGAUUGAUCUAUUGGAAUAAAAAUAAAUCAUUGCCAUCACUAUUUGCUUAUUUGUGAGUUUG
rnacentral:lncRNA from 1 species